UGGCUGCGCACUUCGGUCUUUUACGUCGGCCUUCGCGAGCGUCUGGGCGGGUGGUAGGUGAGUGGGUAUUGCGGGCUAGUAUCCGAGCAAAAGAUGGUGGCGCAGGCCGAGUUAAGAGCUUUAAUCCUGUGAAGACAUCUUAGUGAAGAGUUUAGAGUGCUGAGAGUUGAAAGCUUGCACGUGGGAAACGUGCGGCCGGACUGCCACAUGUACUGAGGUUGAGUCGUGACGGCCACAGGCUCCGAGUUUUGGCGUGAGGAACCGCUGAUCGGCCACGGGCGCCGAACUUGCUGGCCUCCGGCAUGUGCCUGAGCGGCGGCGGAAAAACCACCUUAAUUGGGGCGGAGGGUUAGUUUUAACAGCAAAGGGCCUUUACUAAAAUGGCGAAGGCCUUCCGUCGGCGUUGUUUUAAAAUGGGAAGCCUCGACCCUGUAUUGAAACUGAGCUGUUCGAAGGCGGCGUUGUGUGCAAUUCGGAUUAAUGAAGGGGAAGGGUUUUGUGUGGAAAAACGCCUUGGAGUGUGACAUUUCUGCGAGAAUGCUUAAAUACCGAUUUCCCGCAGGAACAAUGGCGCUGUCUUCAGUGGCACAGUGGAGCAGCUCUGAAGAUGCAAAGAUACACGAAAAAACUUCCAGAACAUCUGGGAGAAUAUUUAAUGGAAAAUCGCUUGGUUAAAACCUGACACUUUUAACAGUGAACAGCGUUCUGAGUGUGGACGAGUAGCCAGUGAAGAUAAUGAAUGUCGAAUGUGACUGACUAGCAGCUUCAUUUUGAAUGAGGGUCGCUGUCUGCCCAUUGAUAGAGGCCAGAUUGUCUUGGAAGUUCCAAAGUUGCAACGAUUUCUGGCUAGUGCCACGAGGUUUACUUGACUGUUGUGUGAAAAGCUGAUAAGAAAACCAUCCAGAAAAAAGCUCUUCGUUUUACAAACAUGAAAAUAAAACAUGUAAUUUUGGAUUAUGUUCCUUUUUGUUAUUACUUUUAAAUAGGUCCUGAAAUAACAUGGGGAGCAUUAAAUGGAAAAUCCACUAACCAGCCUUGUAAUCAAAUUACUGUGAGUGAAUGUUUCGGGUUUGUGCAGGGUACAAUGUAAGGGUUUUUGGAUCAGUGUAAGAGUGGAGAGACAGGAAUUAGAAGUAAUUGUUACUAAGCAAAUCAUGGAAUAUUUAGUUUUGAUGUAACUAUAAUUUUGAAAGCCUGGAUGCUUAAGUUGAGAAAUGGGGGAAUGAGAUACAGAAAAUAAGGAGCACAAUAGAAUAAUAAUAGCAGUUUAUUAAGUAUGGUCAUGAGGGAAGGUUACUGAUAAAACAAUCUGGUAAAGACAUUCAGGCUUGCUAAAAUCUAGGAAGAGGUCAUUUGGCAGGAUGGGUUACAUAAUGCUAUCUGAUACUACCAAAUAAAAUGAGAGAGAAGCCUUAGGCAUGUAACGUUUGGAGAUAGAAAAUGUACCUUCACUAUGAAGGUAGUGUGUGUAAGAUGGCAGUUGAAAGCAUUGCUUGUGUUUAUGUUUAUACCCUUGAUCUCUGAUGCCCUUACCUACCGUACUUAAAACUCUGUUAAUCAUUGUCUUUCUCCCCCUCCCACAACUUCUGCAUAAAAUUUUAAGAUCUGUGUUUCAUUAGUUCAAGAGUGCCUAGAAUAGGGCCAGGCACUGUUAUACAGUAUGUGGUAAAAGACUAUUGAGAUUCCAGUUUUCAAGGAAGAGUGCCAUUACCGUUUUGUUAAAGCUGGCAAACAAGACAAAGUUGUGAAAUAGACUGGUUGCUUUGGAGCCCUCUGACCGCUUUUCCUGUAGCUCCUUCUACCUCCCUUGCCUCCCAAUAGAUUUUUUAAUAUGUCACAUUAUCUAUCGAAAUUAGUACUCCACAUUUAUAUGCACUGGCUUGUGCUAGGCUCUGCCAAGACUCCUGAAAUAAAACCGUUUUGUCAACAGUGGCACAAGAUGCCAAGGAAAAGUCAAGCUAUGAAGGAUUCUUGAAAAUAGAACAAGUGGAUUUGAGUCUAAACCAGCACAGAUGUUGGGACAAUAGGCCUAAGAAAUAACUGAGCAAAGACAGUAUGGUUCAGAGUCUGAGACAAAUAUUGAGGAUUUGGGUACCAACAGGGUGGAUAGGUGUAGGACAGAAAACUGAUGUUAUAAAUACCCUUAAGAUUCUUGAGCAAGGAAGUUACAAAUGUAAGACUAUUCCUGUAAUGAGAGUCAGAUCCAAAAAGGUUUAAUUUGAAUGGAAUUGAACUUGAAAGUUCAGUUUCAAUUACUGACUCCUUGAUGGCAAUUUCUAAUCACACAGGAGGCUGUUAGUCUGUCAUAGCCUCCUAAAAUCUCAGGCGAUAUUGGUUAAGAUCAGUUUCCUAAGUUUACCCUCCAGAGCAUAGCUGCUGCUUGGGACCAGGUGCAGUGACUCAUGCCUGUAAUCCCAGCACUCUGCUUGAGCCCAGGAAGAGACCAGCCUGGAAACAGCAAGUUGUCAUCUCUAUAAAUAAGUAAAACUGGGUGUGGUAACAUGCGCUUGUUCCAGCUACUCGGGAGGCUGAGAUAGGAGGAUCACUUGAACCUAGGAGGUUGAAGCUACAAUCAGCCAUGAUUGCACCUCUGUCUUCUAUCCUGGGCAACAGACCAGGCUAAAAAAAAAAAAAAUCCUUAAGGAGCUUGACUAUAAUAGACUGGGAUAUGCUUGAUUCUGAUUGGUUUCAGAAGUUGAAAGAUAAUUUACGUGUCUGACUUUAGUGACUUCAGCCAACAGGAAUUUUUCCUCUGCCUUACACCAGGCUUCCAGGUAAUCUUAAAAUACAGUAAGCUCAAACCUACCAUUUGGUGCUUUCUAAAAUUAGUUCUAUUGCCAGAAACCCAAUAUCCACUGUGCUUGGCUCCCCAGUCAAGUGUCCUGUGAACUAACAUCAAUCCUCACUGCCCUGUGUAUAUGAAAGAGCUUUCAGCUGUUUUCAUGGUUUUUCUAACAGUUCCCCAGUUGGGAUUAGAGCCUUUGUUUGAAUCAGCCUACUAGAAUAACCUGCUUAUCUUUUGCCAGUCCUUUAAUAGGAGUGGGACCCUCCUUCCUGCCUUUUCAAAAGCUUGGUUCUGGAUCCAAACAAUACUUAUAGUACUUAGUUAUAGGUAUAUAUUAGUAUACAUGACUUAACUGUCUGAAUAUUGCCACUGCCUCUGAUCUUACUCCAUCCUGUAGAGUAACAUCUUGUAGAGAGCAUCUUGGGGCAGAAGAGGAUACAUUUUCAGUAUGAGAACCAGACUCCUUGUCUUACUCUCAUGAGUCCUGGUCUCCUCCUGGUACUACUAUUCCACUGCUGAGGUCUCAGCAUGCCAUAUAGCUGAGUUUGUCAGAGUUAAUGAGGGUUUAAUCAGAAUCCCAAAUCAAGUACAGUCCAGUCCAACCUAUUUGAGAACUUUAUCUUUCUUGUUACUUCAUUUAUUAUAGUUCACUUCAAAAGAGCAAUGGAAAAGGCACUUCAGAAUAUGCAAAAAAUGUAUCAUUUGAAGGCAAUAAUUUACAAAUAUGCAUUACUUCACUGAGAUCAGGAAACUUUUGUCCUUGCCUCCUGUAGUGAAUAUAACUGAUGUACAAAAAUGUGUACAUUUAAAAAGUAUACAAUUUGAUGGGUUUUUCAUAGGAAUAUACUCAUGAAACCAUCAACAUAAUCAAGAUAAUGACUAUAUCCAUCACUCCCAAAAAUAUUCUAUUGUUGGCUUGAUUUUGAACAUGUUAAGUUUAAAUAGCACAUGUUAUUCAAAUUGGGAUUUUUGAGUAGGCAGUUAGAUAUAGAGGUCCACAGUUCAGAGGAGAGGUCUGACUAAAAUAAAAUUGGGAGUUAACAUAUGGAAGGCAUAUUUAAAGCCAUAAGAUUAGAUGAGAUCACCAAUAGAGAAAAAAGUCCAAGAGUUGAACCCUGUGGCCUUUCAGGAUUAGGACAUUCCAGGUUUAUUCAAAUCCUAGAGAAUAAUUUGUGCCAAGGGACAAAAAUCAGGACGCAGGAAUCUGCUGCCAAGUUCAAGGGCCAUAUUUGUUAGGAACAGAAACUAAGUAGAAAACCAAGGAUGCCUGGAAUGAAAUGAGCCAAGAAAAAAGGAUAAGAACCAAGCAAAACUUGCUGGAAAUUGCCUUGGAUUUAAUAUAGACCAUUGGUCAACAUGAAAACUGAAGAUAGUGUCUGAUCAUGACUUUGCAAAGUAACAGACGAAGUGAUCUUCAGGAGAGAAUAAGAUGAGGAAUUUAGGAAGUAUGAUAAGGCUUUUUCAUCAGACACUGCAGAUUGGGAGAAAAUGGAGCUGACCAUGGACAAGUUAUAAAUUUGCCUAGCAUUGAUAAAGUAUCAGCUGAGGCUGAAAACCACCAAUUUUAACAAAAAUCAGCAUAUUUCUUCAGUAUUGUGUGGUGCUUAUCUCCUUGGGAGCAGAAAGCAGAGACUGGAUUAAUCCAAAAUCAGGGAUAAACUGACCAGGAGGAGCAGAGGAAUAAUGGGCCAAGAGUACUGAGGAUGCAAGUAAAAGUGCUCAAAUUACUGUAUUGACCUUGUAAUCCCAAGCUGAUCGGGGAAGGAAAAAAAAAAAACAGGAGAGGGCUGGAAAAUUGUCACAGGUAAUGACAGAGGAUCAGAUGUGCUAUAGAAAUGUGCUGUUGAAAAUGGUAGACUAAGCCCCUCUCCAAUUAUACUGUGGAAUGAGCCGUAUAACAUGUUGUGAUUAUUGGUUUCUCCCUUCUGGACCUGGAGUGUCAGUUCUUCUAAAGCAGAGACUUCCCUUUAAUCUCUGUUUAAACUUGGUGCCUAGGACAAUGUAAUGGCAUCCAUAAAAUAUCUAAUGGAAUGGAGUUUAACAUGUUUUUUAGGGUGGAACUGGUGGUGUGAUUUAAAUUCUCCAAAAGAGAAAUGAGAAAAGUUGGAAGCUGUUGUGGCCUGACUUUAUACCCCCAAAAUUCAUAUUUUGAAUACCCCAAAAAGAAGUAUAAUGUAAGUCCAGAAUCAUUACUGGUGAUGACGUUCAAAAGUCAGAAUUGAGAUAUACCCCAAAGAACACACCUUGCUAUUGCCCUAGAGAAGUUUAAUGUGUUUUAUGCCUAUGUUCCUAUUGAUGCAGUUAAAGUGACCAACUAUUAGCAACAAACCCCAAAUUGUCCUUUGUACAAAAAUAGUUGAUUAGGCCAGGUGCAGUAGCUCAUA
rnacentral:lncRNA from 1 species